AAUAAACAUUCAUAAGUUGGUAAUAUUAGUAAACUUUGUUUCAACAGCAAUUAAAUGUGCAGCAGGCAAUAUCUGCACAUUAAAACACAUUAUACAUGCACUUGGACUUACUGCAACACCAGUGAUUUGUAUGUUUUUCCAUUAAGUGCCUUUAUUGUGUUUACGAUUUAAAAAACAUAUCUAAGAUAAUCACAGAGGGGCUGAACAUUUAAAAAUCAUAUCAGGCACUACAAGUCAAUGAUUGAAUCACAUUUGAAAACAAAAUGUAAUAAAGGUUUGUAGUGGUGUCACACAAUACAAAUACAGAAAGGGAAAACAGCCCCCCCCCAAAAAAAUAGUCUAACAUUACAAAAGUUUUGAUAUAUAGCAGUGAUCCAUUACAUCAGAAAAAUGACCCUAAGAUGGGCAGCUUAAUGUACACAAAUUCUCCAUCAUGUCAACAUUCCUUUUACAGUGUAAGUAGGAGUCAGUCCCCUUUAUACAUGGUUAGAUCACCCCAGUCUUCUUUGUCUUCUGUUCUUUUGGGCUGCAGCAGCAUCCAUACAACAGAGCGAAGACGAUCAGAGACAUAAUCAGCAGCAUGAACAGUCCUAUGACCACAAUACCACCAAGUGUCCAUGGACCCUGAUGCACCCGAUACAGGAACCAUUCCACCCAGGCCUCCGGUGACCCUGUUGGUUUUUGCAGUUCUGGUACACUGCACAUGGAGAGAUGAACCAGAUGAAAGCUCAGAUGGCGGAAUAUUAGUUAAAGCGGUGAUACCUCAGUUACUCUGUGUGGGCAGGAGCAACAGAAAGGCAACAGCUCCUGGUUAAUGUUUACUCAAAAUAUUGACUGCUGGAGGCAAAGGAGAGAUCUGGUGAUAAGGUGUGCAAACAUUAGGGCGGUGUUUUACUGAUGCAAAUAGAAUCCCACUUUAUCAAAAUUGUUUUUUAAACUUGAACAUCUAAAUAUAAUCGGGAAAAAAAGCAUUUUAAGAAGAAACUAAAAGUUGUAAUUUUUUAGAAGAUGCGAUUUACAUUUGAGCAAAUAAAGAUAAUAUGUCAAUGCUGUAUAUUUUUUUAUUUUAUAUAUUGAACAUUUAUUACAUUUCAGGAACAUCCACAAAGGAAAUAUGGCACUGCCUCUGUAAAAAGACAAAAAAAAACCUUACAUACAAAGAGAAUAGCACAAUUUGCA